UCCGGAAUGGUGUAAUGGUUAACAUCGCUCGCUCUCAUUUACUUCUCAUUAAUCGAAGUGUGAACCGAGCAGCUCGGGGUUCGAUUCCCCGUUCCGGAA